rnacentral:rRNA from 1 species
UACGUAGGGGGCAAGCGUUGUUCGGAAUUACUGGGCGUAAAGGGCGCGUAGGCGGCAUGGCAAGUCAGGAGUGAAAGGCCUGGGCUCAACCGAGGAACUGCUUUUGAUACUGCCAAGCUAGAGUGCGGAAGGGGCAACUGGAAUUCCCAGUGUAGCGGUGAAAUGCGUAGAUUAUUGGGAAGAACACCUGAGGCGAAGGCGGGUUGCUGGGCCGACACUGACGCUGAGGGCGCGAAAGCCAGGGGGAGCAAACGGG